rnacentral:tRNA from 1 species
GAAAAUUUAGUUAAGUCAUAACAUCAGCUUGUCAUGCUGGAAUAGCCCCAUAGGGCAAUUUUCU